UAUUAUAUUGUUAUAUUAUUAUGUCAACACGAAAGAUUUCAUUGUUUGGUUGUAUCAAACUUAAAAUUCAUAUUAUUUUAUCAGUUUGAAAUGCCUAGAAUAUUGAAUUCUCAAUUUUCGACACAUAGCUUCCAGACAGACCAAGAGCUUCAUUUUCUGCAAUUAGUUUCCAUACGUGGUAAUGAAUCAAAAUAAGCUCAGAAGGAAAAAAUCCAAAUCCCCAUUUAAGUAACCAGCGAUUGCAACUAAUUUAAGUAUAAAAUAUGGAAAUUCCUCAAGUCCACAUACGGCAUUCCAAUGUGAAACGUCUAAAGAGCUGAAUGAGUAGAAGUUUAAAAAUUUGCAUACUCGAGCUACGAAGUGGGGCUCUGAGCAUUACAAACACCUUGAAGAGCAGAGAGAACAAUAACAUGCAUAUAUCAACAAAUAGAGUUUACAAUGAAGUUUGAGCUCUCAGUAACAUAUCGUCUCUUGGAUAUAAAUCUUAUUUGGCUCAACAAUUAAAAUUCAUGAUGCUGAAUUCUACCAUCCCAAGAGUUAAAAAUUAUAAAUUAUAAACCACAAAAAUAUGACGACGGGAGGCCACUAUUUAGUCAAUAUAAAAGAACUUUGUAAAAAUAUUAUAAAACAGGUUUAUCUAUCAAAAUCAUUAGCAAAGUCCAUCUACACUUUACACAAUUUUUCAUAUCAAAUUAAAAUGUAAAAAGUAUACCUUUAAAAA